rnacentral:rRNA from 2 species
GGGUUGUGAGGUUAAGCGACCAAGCGUACACGGUGGAUGCCCUGGCAGUCAGAGGCGAUGAAGGACGUGCUAAUCUGCGAUAAGCGCCGGUAAGGUGAUAUGAACCGUUAUAACCGGCGAUUUCCGAAUGGGGAAACCCAGUGUGAUUCGUCACACUAUCAUUAACUGAAUCCAUAGGUUAAUGAAGCGAACCGGGGGAACUGAAACAUCUAAGUACCCCGAGGAAAAGAAAUCAACCGAGAUUCCCCCAGUAGCGGCGAGCGAACGGGGAGGAGCCCAGAGCCUGAAUCAGCAUGUGUGUUAGUGGAAGCGUCUGGAAAGGCGCGCGAUACAGGGUGACAGCCCCGUACACAAAAGCGCAUAUGCUGUGAGCUCGAUGAGUAGGGCGGGACACGUGGUAUCCUGUCUGAAUAUGGGGGGACCAUCCUCCAAGGCUAAAUACUCCUGACUGACCGAUAGUGAACCAGUACCGUGAGGGAAAGGCGAAAAGAACCCCGGCGAGGGGAGUGAAACAGAACCUGAAACCGUGUACGUACAAGCAGUGGGAGCCCCACCACUAAGCCAGUGGUGAACUCCACAUACGCAUCCUUUGUUGAAGAUGCGGUUAACGGAGCGCAAGCGACGUUCAACCUCAAAAGAAGCAGAGGGGGCUUAGUGGUGGGGUGACUGCGUACCUUUUGUAUAAUGGGUCAGCGACUUAUAUUCUGUAGCAAGGUUAACCGCAUAGGGGAGCCGAAGGGAAACCGAGUCUUAAUUGGGCGUUAAGUUGCAGGGUAUAGACCCGAAACCCGGUGAUCUAGCCAUGGGCAGGUUGAAGGUUGGGUAACACUAACUGGAGGACCGAACCGACUAAUGUUGAAAAAUUAGCGGAUGACCUGUGGCUGGGGGUGAAAGGCCAAUCAAACCGGGAGAUAGCUGGUUCUCCCCGAAAGCUAUUUAGGUAGCGCCUCGUGAAUUCAUCUCCGGGGGUAGAGCACUGUUUCGGCUAGGGGGCCAUCCCGGCUUACCAACCCGAUGCAAACUGCGAAUACCGGAGAAUGUUAUCACGGGAGACACACGGCGGGUGCUAACGUCCGUCGUGAAGAGGGAAACAACCCAGACCGCCAGCUAAGGUCCCAAAGUCAUGGUUAAGUGGGAAACGAUGUGGGAAGGCCCAGACAGCCAGGAUGUUGGCUUAGAAGCAGCCAUCAUUUAAAGAAAGCGUAAUAGCUCACUGGUCGAGUCGGCCUGCGCGGAAGAUGUAACGGGGCUAAACCAUGCACCGAAGCUGCGGCAGCGAACGUAUCACUUAAAACGAUUCAGAAGCUUACGAUUGACGGAGCGAAGCGACGUCAAAGCGUAUACAAAGUCGAGUCGGUUUAAGGAUACGUUCGUUGGGUAGGGGAGCGUUCUGUAAGCCGUUGAAGGUGGCCUGUGAGGGUUGCUGGAGGUAUCAGAAGUGCGAAUGCUGACAUAAGUAACGAUAAAGCGGGUGAAAAGCCCGCUCGCCGGAAGACCAAGGGUUCCUGUCCAACGUUAAUCGGGGCAGGGUGAGUCGACCCCUAAGGCGAGGCCGAAAGGCGUAGUCGAUGGGAAACGGGUUAAUAUUCCCGUACUUGGUGUUACUGCGAAGGGGGGACGGAGAAGGCUAUGUUGGCCGGGCGACGGUUGUCCCGGUUUAAGCGUGUAGGCUGACUUUCCAGGCAAAUCCGGAGAGUCAAGGCUGAGGCGUGACGACGAGGCACCACGGUGCUGAAGCAACAAAUGCCCUGCUUCCAGGAAAAGCCUCUAAGCAUCAGGUAACAUCAAAUCGUACCCCAAACCGACACAGGUGGUCAGGUAGAGAAUACCAAGGCGCUUGAGAGAACUCGGGUGAAGGAACUAGGCAAAAUGGUGCCGUAACUUCGGGAGAAGGCACGCUGACAUGUAGGUGAAGUGGUUUACCCAUGGAGCUGAAGUCAGUCGAAGAUACCAGCUGGCUGCAACUGUUUAUUAAAAACACAGCACUGUGCAAACACGAAAGUGGACGUAUACGGUGUGACGCCUGCCCGGUGCCGGAAGGUUAAUUGAUGGGGUCAGCGCAAGCGAAGCUCCUGAUCGAAGCCCCGGUAAACGGCGGCCGUAACUAUAACGGUCCUAAGGUAGCGAAAUUCCUUGUCGGGUAAGUUCCGACCUGCACGAAUGGCGUAAUGAUGGCCAGGCUGUCUCCACCCGAGACUCAGUGAAAUUGAACUCGCUGUGAAGAUGCAGUGUACCCGCGGCAAGACGGAAAGACCCCGUGAACCUUUACUAUAGCUUGACACUGAACAUUGAGCCUUGAUGUGUAGGAUAGGUGGGAGGCUUUGAAGCGUGGACGCCAGUCUGCGUGGAGCCGGCCUUGAAAUACCACCCUUUAAUGUUUGAUGUUCUAACGUGGACCCGUGAUCCGGGUUGCGGACAGUGUCUGGUGGGUAGUUUGACUGGGGCGGUCUCCUCCUAAAGAGUAACGGAGGAGCACGAAGGUUGGCUAAUCCUGGUCGGACAUCAGGAGGUUAGUGCAAUGGCAUAAGCCAGCUUGACUGCGAGCGUGACGGCGCGAGCAGGUGCGAAAGCAGGUCAUAGUGAUCCGGUGGUUCUGAAUGGAAGGGCCAUCGCUCAACGGAUAAAAGGUACUCCGGGGAUAACAGGCUGAUACCGCCCAAGAGUUCAUAUCGACGGCGGUGUUUGGCACCUCGAUGUCGGCUCAUCACAUCCUGGGGCUGAAGUAGGUCCCAAGGGUAUGGCUGUUCGCCAUUUAAAGUGGUACGCGAGCUGGGUUUAGAACGUCGUGAGACAGUUCGGUCCCUAUCUGCCGUGGGCGCUGGAGAACUGAGGGGGGCUGCUCCUAGUACGAGAGGACCGGAGUGGACGCAUCACUGGUGUUCGGGUUGUCAUGCCAAUGGCACUGCCCGGUAGCUAAAUGCGGAAGAGAUAAGUGCUGAAAGCAUCUAAGCACGAAACUUGCCCCGAGAUGAGUUCUCCCUGAGACUUUGAGUCUCCUGAAGGAACGUUGAAGACGACGACGUUGAUAGGCCGGGUGUGUAAGCGCAGCGAUGCGUUGAGCUAACCGGUACUAAUGAACCGUGAGGCUUAACCUUACAACGCCGAAGCUGUU